ensembl:lncRNA
AGACGCACUACGCACUACAUUAUCGGUUUAAAAAGAUCUGACGACAUUGAGUCCAAGCAACUCAUAAAAGAGGCUAUGGCUUUCCAUCAUCCCCCUAAGUGAUUCUCGGCAAACCUUGAAAGACCAAAUAAAGGACUUCCUCAUCUAGCAGCUGGAACAUGUCAAAUUCCAGGCUAACAAAGUCCCUAGUUUGAUGUCACAUAAUAUGUCAAAGCUCAAGUGGAGACGGGUCACUACAGCAUUCCUCCGCUGCCACACACCUUGGCACUUUCCCAGAGGAAACACCCUGGAAAAGAAGAGAGAAAACCACUCCAGCUCCGGGGAUGGGAUGUCGUCCCGCCCCAUUCUUUUCCCUACAGUUGAGCUGGGGAAAUCUAGCAGGCUACAUCCUAAAUGACACUCUAUGUGGCCCCCUUGAGAGAGCAUUACUUGUGACCAGAGCUGUAGAGAAUAGACUGCUAACUUGGACAUUCAAGGAGUUCAGAGUUGUGCCAGAAAAAGUUUUCAGCAGUCCUAAUGUGGGAAAGAAAUGGACAGAGAAAAUUAGCCGAGCUGACCUCGUUCUCUCUGAUAUCUACUGUACAGCGAAAUAGCCUUCGCCGACAGCUAUAUUACGCAAGAGAGACAGAGUCUCUGGCCAGGACCUGUGAUUCAGAGUUCAAGUACUGUGUGUUUAUGUUGGUCUGGAGAGGAACUGACUGAAGAGGGGGCCGGUGCUAGCUCAAAGGAGAUUAUGCAAAGAGCUCCACCCUCUCCGUCCGUCUUCCCACUAACUGAAGGAGGGAUUAAUGUGUGUUUGCUCACCAUUAUGCUAAGUACCACCCCAUACAGCAGCCCUGUCCCUCCCUGUUACAACAGCAUCACUGUUUUCAUACGCUUAAUAGCCUUAGUUAACUGCUAAAGUUUUUCCAAGCUAAUGAACACAUGAUUAAUUAAAGAAAUGC